AACCAUAGAAACCUGCGGAGUACCUGCGGAGGGAUCAUUACACAAUACAAUAUGAAGGCUGUCCGCAGCUGGAGUAUUUUAUUACCCUUGUCUUUUGCGCCCUUGUUGUUUCCUGGGCGGGUUCGCUCGCCACCAGGACCACCAAAUAAACCUUUUUUAUGCAGUUGCAAUCAGCGUCAGUACAAACAAUGUAAAUCAUUUACAACUUUUAACAAUGGAUCUCAGAUCGGAAGAGCACAC
rnacentral:misc_RNA from 1 species